AUGCUCGCUUUGACAGCACAUAUACUAAAAAUGGAACGAUACUGAGAAGAUUAGCACGGCCCCUGCGCAAGGAUGACAUGCAAAUUUCUGAAGCAUUCCAUUUUUUA
rnacentral:snRNA from 1 species